rnacentral:rRNA from 1 species
CAAGUCGAACGGUAACAGGAAACAGCUUGCUGUUUCGCUGACGAGUGGCGGACGGGUGAGUAAUGUCUGGGAAACUGCCUGAUGGAGGGGGAUAACUACUGGAAACGGUAGCUAAUACCGCAUAACGUCGCAAGACCAAAGAGGGGGACCUUCGGGCCUCUUGCCAUCAGAUGUGCCCAGAUGGGAUUAGCUAGUACGUGGGGUAACGGCUCACCUAGGCGACGAUCCCUAGCUGGUCUGAGAGGAUGACCAGCCACACUGGAACUGAGACACGGUCCAGACUCCUACGGGAGGCAGCAGUGGGGAAUAUUGCACAAUGGGCGCAAGCCUGAUGCAGCCAUGCCGCGUGUAUGAAGAAGGCCUUCGGGUUGUAAAGUACUUUCAGCGGGGAGGAAGGGAGUGAAGUUAAUACCUUUGCUCAUUGACGUUACCCGCAGAAGAAGCACCGGCUAACUCCGUGCCAGCAGCCGCGGUAAUACGGAGGGUGCAAGCGUUAAUCGGAAUUACUGGGCGUAAAGCGCACGCAGGCGGUUUGUUAAGUCAGAUGUGAAAUCCCCGGGCUCAACCUGGGAACUGCAUCUGAUACUGGCAAGCUUGAGUCUCGUAGAGGGGGGUAGAAUUCCAGGUGUAGCGGUGAAA